CUGAGUCUGGGCCACCCUUCACCGGGACCCGACCUCUUAAACCCAGUGUCAAAACUACACCUUGGAUGUUGCUUCGGCGGGACGGUCGCUAACCCGACCGCCGGGGGCGUUGGUCUUCGGAUCGACCCUCUGGAGCGUUUGCCCGCCGAUGGCCUACCCAAAAACUCUUGAACUAAACCAUGAUGUCUAAACAAGUAUACCCAUAUAUCAAUGGAUAAACA
rnacentral:misc_RNA from 1 species